rnacentral:lncRNA from 1 species
UAAAAACACAGCAAAUUUUUUUUUUUUGAAAACCUGACCCCCAAGGUAUGCCAGAUCCGCCACAAAUAUAGGGAGUCCACUAUUCACAUGGACAGAGUCUCCCCUAUAUUUGCACGGCGUCGCACAAGUACAAGAUACAAACAGAAUACAACCACAACUGAACAUAAAGACAUUCAUAUUCAUACGCCAUUUACCACAGAAUCACAUUCAGGGUUUAUUCAGAAAUUCAUAACUAUUAGUUUAAAUGUUUUCUACUCGGAAACUCAUUUUGAAAUACUAUUUUAUGAAAACCACAAGAAUAUCUUUUUCAAAUCUGUUUCCUACACGAAAACCCUUUUUCUUUUAAAACACUACCACGAGGGGUAGAAAAUCAUUUUCCAAUUCACAAAAUCCACAAUUCCUUUUAUU